UUUUAGUAGAGAGGUCUGUCUGGAGGGUUUUAGUAGAGGUCUGUCUGGAGGGUUUUAGUAGAGAGGUCUGUCUGUAGAGAGGUCUGUCUGGAGGGUUUUAGUAGAGAGGUCUGUCUGUAGAGAGGUCUGUCUGUAGAGAGGUCUGUCUGGAGGGUUUUAGUAGAGAGGUCUGUCUGUAGAGAGGUCUGUCUGGAGGGUUUUAGUAGAGAGGUCUGUCUGGAGGGUUUUAGUAGAGAGGUCUGUCUGUAGAGAGGUCUGUCUGGAGGGUUUUAGUAGAGAGGUCUGUCUGUAGAGAGGUCUGUCUGGAGGGUUUUAGUAGAGAGGUCUGUCUGUAGAGAGAUCUGUCUGGAGGGUUUUA